rnacentral:misc_RNA from 1 species
CUUGUGGCUGAUCCUAGGCGCUGUAAGCCCAAGAAAUUCGGUGGUCGCGGUGCUCGUUCCAGGUUCCAGAAGAGUUAUCGUUAAUGUUGGAUUUGGAUAGCAAAAAACACUAGAGGAGGAUCUAAGUCUUCUACUUCUGGUGUUGAAGAAUCUAAUCACAGAAGUGGAGUUGCGACUAAACUAAAGCAGAAUAGAAGUAGGUCUGAGAAUGGUGAAAAUGUGUCUCGUUUGAGGGAGAUGCCAAGGAGGGCAGCUGCUUGCUGAGAUUUCAAAGAACAGUCUACAGACUUCUCAGAGAAAUCUUCACUAAUAGAAAUUAAAAGGGAGGUUGUAGUGGAACAUGAGUCUGUAGCCUUAGGUUUGACAGCUGGGCAGGAUGAUCCUCGAUCAAACAGAAGACUGAAGGAUUUUACUUUCCAUGAUGCUGGUGGAAACCCACAGCCACUUGAGAUGUUGGAAAUUGAUAACUUCUUCAUUUCAGGUCUCAUCUUGCCCCUGGAAGAGAGUAUUGAUAAAGAAAAAGGAGUAAGAUGUAAUGGUUUUGGAAGGAUUGAAUCAUGGGUAAUUUCUGGUUAUGAAGAAGGAUCACCUGUUAUUUGGGUCUCAACUGGAUUAGCAUAUGAUGAUUGUAUUAAACCUUCUUAUAAAUACAGAAGAUUCUACAAUCUUUUCUUUGAAAAGGCCCAUGCAUGUGUGGAGGUGUACAGGAAAUUAUCAAGGACAUAUGGUGGAAAUUCCAAUAUAGGUGUUGAUGAACUGAUUGCAGGUGUUGCACGUGCAAUGAGUACUAGUAAGAAUUUUCCUCAAGGCAUGUCCAUCAAGGACUUUAUAAUUUCGUAGGGUGAAUUUAUUCAUAAUCAACUUAUUGGUUUGGAUGCAACAGCAAAGAAAAAUGAUCAGAUGUUUACAGGUUUGCCUGUGCUUGUGGCCCUUAGGGAAGAAAAGAAGAAAUUUGAGAGUUUCUUGACUUCAGAAGCCGCAACCUUGGGUAUAGUGGGGAAUACAAGUCUAAAAGUUGUUGAAGAGUCAGCUGAUCAGUCUACUUCAACCACUUGUGGGACUGAAGAAGAUGAGGAUAUGAAAUUGGCCAGGUUGCUACAAGAAGAGAACUGGCUGUCAAUGAAGCAAAAUAAUCGACAAUCUUCAGUUCCUCCAUCAAAAUUCUAUAUCAAGAUCAAUGAGAAUGAAAUUGCAAAUGACUAUCCUCUUCAUACAUACUACAAGACCUCUGUUGAAGAAAUUGAUGAGUUUCUUGCCAUUUGCAAUGAUGGCAGUAAUGAACUUCCUGAAAACAUGCUUCAUAAUUGGACACUUUACAACUCUUAUGCUUGAUUAAUUUCUUUGGAGCUCCUUCCUAUGGGGUGUGCUGAUAUCUAUAUGAUGAUAUUUGGGUCAGGUAAUGUUAUUCAGGAUGCGGAUGGAAGCGAAUAUUAUCUUGAUGAUAGUUCUAACCAGUCUUCAUCAGCUUGUGUUGAAGUAGAAAAUGGAAUUGGACUUCCAAUAUAUUUAAGUGAUUAAGGAAUGGAAGAUUGAAUUUGGAUCGUCAAUUAUUUCGAUAUCAAUUCGAACAGAUUUGUCCUGGUAUACUAUAGUGAAUAUUUAAUGAAAGUUCCUAUUGUGGCAAUACAAGGCAAGUGUGAAGUUAGGAAGAAGCAUGAUCCUCCACCUUUGGACAGCCCUGCCAUCUUUGAGCAUAUAAUCUUCUGUGAACACGUAUAAAUGGAGCUAUCAACCAGGUGAUUUUCUUUCGUUGUGUGAUAUUUAUGAAAUCACCUUGUUAUUAGUUCCAAUGGUCAUUUUUCUUGUACAAUCUACAUUUGUCUGCUUGUGCGGUGGAAAUUGUGUUCAGUGAACCAAGGUUUCCUCUUUUUUACCUGAAUGACUAUGAUCAUUUUUCUGCUGCCAGUUGCCCGGUCACAUAAAGCUUAGCUCUUCAAAAGAAAGGAUGAUCGAUGAUCUUACGUAUCAAAAGAAAAAGAGCAAGUUUAAAGAAGGGGGAAAUGGUUUUAAUAAUAUUGACAAAUUAUCAAAAGCAUUAUCUAAAAAUCGGCUGGCCACCCUAGAUAUCUUUGCUGUUUGCGGAGGCUUGUCUAAAGGUUUAGAGAGUGCAGGAAUGUCUGUGACAAAAUGUGCAAUUGAAUAUGAAGAACGUGCAGGGGAAGCAUUUAAGUCUAAUCAUCCAGAGGAAUUGGUCUUCAUUAAUAACUGCAACAUGAUCCUAAGGGCUAUCAUGUCUGCUUGUGGGGAUGCAGAUGAUUGUAUAUGUACUUCUGAAGCUUCUGAGUUGGCAGCAAAACUUGAUGAGAAGGAGAUUAAUAGUCUUCCUCGGCCUGGGGAAGUUGAAUUUAUCUGUGGAGGGCCUCCUUGCCAGGGAUUUUCUGGAAUGAAUCGGUUUAAUCAUGGCUCUUGGAGUAAGGUCCAGUGUGAGAUGAUCUUAGCCUUCUUGUCUUUUGCUGAUUACUUCCGCCCUAAGUUCUUCCUUCUAUAAAAUGUUAGGAACUUUGUAUCAUUUAACAAAGGGCAAACAUUUCGUCUGACUCUAGCUUCACUCCUUGAGAUGGGCUAUCAGGUGAGGUUUGGAGUUUUGGAAGCUGGAGCUUAUGGUGUUUCGCAAUUUCGCAAGCGUGCGUUCAUCUGGGCUGCUUCUCCAGAGGAAAUGCUCCCCGAAUGGCCUGAGCCAAUGCAUGUGUUUGCUGGCUCAGAGCUCAGGGUUACCUUAUCAGGAAAUUCCCAAUAUGCUGCAGUGAAAAGUACGGCAAAUGGUGCUCCUUUCCGAGCAAUAACCGUUAAAGAUACAAUUGGGGAUCUCCCAUCUAUAGGGAAUGGGGCUUUGGUGACAACUAUGAAAUAUGAGAAUGAACCUGUCUCUUGGUUUCAAAAGACAAUUCGACGAGACAUGCUGGUCUUAACUGAUCAUAUUUCAAAAGAAAUGAAGGAGCUCAAUCUCAUUCGUUGUAAAAGAAUUCUGAAGUGACCAGGUGCUGAUUGGCGUGACCUCCCAAAUGAACAAGUUAAGUUGUCCACAGGUCAAGUGGUUGAUUUAGUACCAUGGUGCCUGCCAAACACAGCCAAGAGGCACAAUCAAUGGAAAGGACUAUUUGGAAGGUUGGAUUGGGAAGGAAACUUCCCUACUUCUGUUACUGACCCUCAACCGAUGGGUAGUGCUUUCACCCUGAACAGGAUAGAAUAGUCACAGUCCGUGAAUGUGCUCGAUCCCAAGUAAGCUAUUUCUCUUUGUAAGCAAUUUUCAUUAUGUGCUUGGAUUUUAAAGCUGUAUGGUUAUUUGGGUUUCUGGGAAUUAAAAUUUUGUGAAAGAAAAAACAUGGAAUGCUGAAAAUAUAAGUAUCAUGAGGAAAUAGAUCUGUUGGGGACUGCUAUCAUUGAAAGUUGCUGUCAUAUUGAGAGCCACUCUAUCUACAACGACUGGAUGUUCUUCAAUGGUUUGCUAAUUAUUUGAUGAGCACUUAGUGAUAUGAAAAUUACUGAAGUUGCCAGACAUUUCAGCAGCUAUUGUCAGCGCUUGACCUUCAAGAUUCUCACUUUUUUGUGCAUGUAGGGAUUCCCAGAUAGCUAUAAGUUUGUAGGAAAUAUUCAUCACAAGCACAGGCAGAUCGUAAAUGCUGUUCCUCCUCCUUUGGCAUUUGUUCUUGGGAGGAAGCUCAAGGAAGCAAUAGAAAAGAAAAAAGCUCAACAUAAUGCAGCUUCUUCAUGUAUACAGUGAGAUUGCUAAAUUGGAUUUGAAGUUUGGCAUCCCAAAUAAAUCAAAUCUAU